CCUACGGGGGGCAGCAGUGGGGAAUAUUGCGCAAUGGGCGAAAGCCUGACGCAGCGACGCCGCGUGAGGGAUGAAGGUCUUCGGAUCGUAAACCUCUGUCAGCAGGGAAGAACGGUCACUGUGCUAAUCAGCAGUGAAUUGACGGUACCUGCAAAGGAAGCACCGGCUAACUCCGGGCCAGCAGCCGCGGUAAUACGGAGGGUGCGAGCGUUAAUCGGAAUUACUGGGCGUAAAGCGCUCGUAGGUGGUAUGUCAAGUCAAGGGUGAAAGCCCCGCGCUCAACGGGGGAACUGCCUUUGAAACUGGCAAACUGGAGUGUGUGAGAGGAUAGUGGAAUUCCAGGUGUAGGAGUGAAAUCCGUAGAUAUCUGGAGGAACAUCAGUGGCGAAGGCGACUAUCUGGCACAUAACUGACGCUGAGGAGCGAAAGCGUGGGUAGCAAACAGGAUUAGAUACCCGAGUAGUC
rnacentral:rRNA from 1 species